UAGAGUUUGAUCCUGGCUCAGAUUGAACGCUGGCGGUAUGCUUAACACAUGCAAGUCGAACGGUAGCAGGCUUUCGGGCGCUGACGAGUGGCGGACGGGUGAGUAAUGCAUAGGAAUCUGCCUAGUAGUGGGGGAUAACGUGGGGAAACUCACGCUAAUACCGCAUACGCCCUACGGGGGAAAGCGGGGGAUCGUAAGACCUCGCGCUAUUAGAUGAGCCUAUGUCAGAUUAGCUUGUUGGUGGGGUAAUGGCCUACCAAGGCGACGAUCUGUAGCUGGUCUGAGAGGAUGAUCAGCCACACUGGAACUGAGACACGGUCCAGACUCCUACGGGAGGCAGCAGUGGGGAAUAUUGGACAAUGGGCGCAAGCCUGAUCCAGCAAUACCGCGUGUGUGAAGAAGGCCUUAGGGUUGUAAAGCACUUUCAAUUGGGAGGAAUACCUGCCGGUCAAUACCCGGUAGAUUGACAUUACCUUUAGAAGAAGCACCGGCUAACUCCGUGCCAGCAGCCGCGGUAAUACGGAGGGUGCGAGCGUUAAUCGGAAUUACUGGGCGUAAAGAGUGCGUAGGCGGUUAUUUAAGUCAGAUGUGAAAGCCCCGGGCUUAACCUGGGAACGGCAUUUGAAACUGGCGGACUAGAGUUGAGUAGAGGGGAGUGGAAUUUCAGGUGUAGCGGUGAAAUGCGUAGAUAUCUGAAGGAACACCAGUGGCGAAGGCGACUCCCUGGAUUAAAACUGACGCUGAGGUACGAAAGCGUGGGUAGCAAACAGGAUUAGAUACCCUGGUAGUCCACGCCGUAAACGAUGUCAACUAGCCGUUGGGUCUUUUAACAGACUUAGUGGCGCAGCUAACGCAUUAAGUUGACCGCCUGGGGAGUACGGCCGCAAGGUUAAAACUCAAAGGAAUUGACGGA
rnacentral:rRNA from 1 species